GUAUGUGUUGGUAAGCUUAGCAAAGCAGCCGAUUUCAUUGUUCUUCUCAAAGGAUGUUCUGACGGCCAUUUUGAUACAGUACUGCCAAAGAUGGGAUAACUCUGACCAGAAACUGUGGAAGAGGGCAGAUGUUAAGUGAGACUGCCAUGAUGACGCGGGAUAUGCGUUCGCGACUGGCAACCCUGCCUACGCAGACCGCUGUGGAUGAUGGGAUACGUUCCUGUUUCGCUGUGUUUACCAAGUCUUUGAUUAGCUCACCACCUGUUCAACUGACGUCACUGCAGCAGCGACACGUUUUCUGCCUGGAAACACUGCAAGCUACUCGGAGAGGGUUAAGAAUCAUGGAUUCAGGUUCAGGUUCCAGUUCCUCAGAUCACAACCAGAGGAAUCAAAGUGAAAAGAAUCAAAGCUGUCCAUCAGCCCAAGGAAAGGAAGCGCCAGUCACACAGGAUCUUAAAACCGAACACAGGACUGAUUCACUGGAAUCAGUGCCUGAACUUCCUCAGCGCAAAAUGGGUAACAAGAAGGUAGACGACAUGAGCUUCAUGAUAUCGUGUACGAACUGGUAUUAGGGGCAUGUGAUAUGUGAUCACUUCUCUGAGUGCCAAAUCAGUAAAGUAAAGAAAAUGGAUGAUCUUGUGGCAUAUGUAGCAUUUAUAAACAUGUUUCUUGUUAAUAAGCCUGAGUUUGAUGGGUCUGUUUGAAGUUGACAGCUUAAAGGGAAAAUCCAUCUUGAACAACUUGCAUAUUAACCUUUAGAAUGAAUGGCUUUUCAUUUAUAAGGAUUAACUAAUAUAAUAUAGUUCUUAAUUGAUUUUUUUUCAUUGACCUGUUGGUAUAUACAAUUCACUUUGACUACAUUACCCUCAUUGCCAUUUGACUGAAACUGCUGAUAGUGAUGCCAGUGAGAUCUACUUAAAGAGCAGCGUUUUAGUUUUUUAGACUGUCCAGCUGUCUCUCAAACAGUUAAGGCUCCAAAACUUUAAAUACAAUGCUAAUUACAUUGUCAACACCAUUGUGUAUGAAUGUUAAGCUUUUGUACCUGUGUCAGCAAUUGCUCUUUGUGAUGUCAGCGUGGUACACAACCACUAAAUUCUCACCAGAAUAUGAAAAAAUGCAUUGACUGAAACUAAACAUUUAAAGAAUGGAAGAUCAGAUGUUGCUUUUCCAAUCUUUGAGUCAUUUUAGUGAGUUUAUUCUCAUUGAAGCCUCAGAUUCUUGUUUGACAGGAAAGGUCCAUGAUGUAGCCUAUUAACCCCAAGGUUUGAUGUGUUUUGUGUUCUGAGAUGUUCUGCUCACCAUGAUUGUACGGAAUGCUUAUUUGAGUUACAUGGUUGUUAUAGUAAAUAAUUUGCAUGAUUUUCUGGAUUGCGCUGCUCCCAUGUGUUCCUAUUAAUGUGGCUGGUGAGUGUUUUUUUUUAAUGUGUUUCAGAGUGGAACUUCAGAAUUUUAGGCCACACAAAGCUUAUUUUAGUUGACUCCUGGUGAGUGGUACAGCAUGCAGCUAUAAUUAUACAAAGGCAAGAACAUGCACUCUCAUAUGCAAACACUUCUACUGUGCAUGCUAAAUGUUCCAUAUUAUAAUAUGUUUUUUAUAUAUAUAUAUAAACUGAAUUUUAUAUAUAUAUAUAUUUAUAAUUAUAAAUAUAUAACUUUGUUAAACCUGAAUUGUACUAUUGCAUACUGUUGCACAUUUAAUAUAUGUUACCCACUGCAGUUUUAACCAAUAAAGUGAGCUAAUAUAAAGGACUACAUAACCACAUGUAAAUACACACACACACACACACAAAAAAUCACAUUUCCAAUAAGCAAGUAUUCAAUAACAGAUAGUUUUUGCUUUUAUUGAAAUUUUGUUGUUAAUAGGACAUGGCAAUGAUUUUUUAGGUACAUCUUGUAGAACUUAAAAUCAAACAAAAACAGUUAAAUCCCCAUGGAGCUAAAAAGGCAAACUUCUGCAAAUAAAGCUUAAAUAUUGUUAGAUCAAGAUUAUGUAAAAAUGACUGCCAUUGUUAGGAAUGGCAUCACUGUAUAUGAUGUGUAAAAUAUUAUAUGCAACUCUUAAAGAGUGAAAGAAAAAAAAAUACAAAAGUCCUCUAUUAACUGUUGUAUUUACAUGAUCCAUGCGUGAGGCUGAGCAACAUUUGACCCGGGAAAUUAGACAAUAUCAAAAGGUCUGUUGUUUUGUCGAAAUAACUGUUCCCUUCAUAAAUUCAUUCAAAUUAAGCAAAGAUAUAUGUACAUUAAAUACACUGAAACUUUCAAAAAAAUCAAACAAAUAACUUUAAAGCUUUAGAUAAAAUUUCAGUUGUAAUCAAUCCUCUGUAGACAAAGAACAUAAAUCAAUUUGUGUAAAGUUCUAAACAAGCUCUGAUAUGUUUGUUUGCCCUAUUUCUUUAUUGUUAGUCUGUUAAAAGGAGUACAGAAACCAAAGGCAACAGCAGGUAGAGGUUAAGAGUGGCUGUCAUCCAGUGCCACCAUCACACCAUAAAAUGAGGCAUUAUCAGCAGAGAAUAUUCAUAUUCCCAUUUUUCUUUGUAUAUUUUUAUUUCCCAGAACAAACCUGUACUGGCAUGGCUUCACCUUUAAUUAAAUCAAAAUUUUCCUAUAGAAAUUAAAUAUCUUUUUUUUUUUUUUCUUUUUUUAAUUCCUUUAAAAAUUAUGUAUUAUGUAUGUCUCCUGGUCAUGAUUUGAAUCUCCAGUGGCAUGUCCAGAUCACUUUUAGCAGCAGGCCCAAGAGUAGCACAGAAAAGGAAUAAGUGGCAUCAAUGAAUACUGAAACCUGGUCAUGAUUCCAGUGAUCAGGAUCCCUGCGGUCAAUCAGUCAUUUGUAAAAUAAUUGACAAAUUUAGAGGGUAAAUAUUUCACACAGAGGAUUAUCACAAAAAAACCCCUCUUUUGUGUCCUUAUCACAAUAAAAUCCUCUACAAACAAGGAGAAAACAUGUCAAACAUGAAUGUUACAAUUCAUUUUAACUGAAUGUUAAAAGACUUUAAAAUUCACCAAAUGUGACCAUGAAGAUGAUCCUGCUAAAUAUGCACUUAAUUAAAUGUACAUUAAAUUAGAUUUAGUUUUAGACAAGUGGUCAUUUAGCUUUAAUUAAUUAAAUUACAGCAAAGUUAUAUGUGAUUUUUUUUAACCAUUUAUAGUUAGAUUUAUUGUUCUGGGAGACAUUAGUUUCAAUUAUUACUUACGUUUAUAACAAAUAUAAACAGUUCCUUUAUCACCCUCUCCUUUUCUUUCUUCCUUGAAUUAAUAUUGAAUUAAUAUGUUAAUGUCCUUGAAUUAAUAUUGAAUUAAUAUGUUAAUAAGACAAAAAAGUCCUGAACCCUCUCCCAUGGAGGGAUGAUUACUAACUGCUUCAAAGGUGGACACAGCCUCCUUCCAAAAAUGUUAAAUAAUUUCACUAUGUCAACAAUUAUAUGUUUUCCUUUUACAAUACAUUCACUGUUGGUGUUAAAUUAUGUAGAGAAUCUUCCAUGCAAGUUCCUUUGAAAAAAUAUGUAAUGAUAUGGAAACAAUAACAUAUUAAUGUAUUAAUAUAAAUCUGUGAUUUGAAUUCUAGAUAAUUAUUCACAAACUUUUGACAAAUAAGGAUUGAGUAUAGCACUGUGUGCUGUGUAACGUCAUUAUACCUAUUCUAAUAUUCCAUCCUGCCCAUUUUUCCUCAAAGGUCCAUACAAAUCUUUUCCUGUUAAUCAAAACAAUAUCACCUAAAGACAUCAUAGUAAUGGCUUACUGGUAUUCCUCCAUAAUUGGACAUUAAACAGUUCUCCUCUUGAGUUAUUCUAUACAUAAAUUUGUCUUUUUAUUCAUUCACUUUAAAUAUUUGUUAACCACAGUUUGUUAACAUGGAUUUCGAGAAUUAUAUUUAAAGUCAUAUUUUUCAUAUAUUUAAAUCAUUAUUUGAGGCAGUUCUCUUUUUGGGUUCUAUUUUAUUACAAAUCUGUGUGUGAAAUAACUCAAAAUUCAUUACUCCAUGCCUGCCUGUAUUUCAUUAACACAUGGGUAGAGGGUCAUUAUGUAAAUAAAAAAAUAAAAAAAAAAGGACAGAUAUUUGUAUAUUAGGAUUCAUUUAUAAAAGCAAGUGUCAUCCAAACGGUAUUAUUUGUGUGUCUUGGUUGUCCUAAUUAUCAUAAUGGAAUGACAUUUGACCCUCUUCAAUCAGAAAAUGUAAUGGUCCCACCAUCCCUCAGGGUACAAGGUAGGCAUGCCUCAAGACUCUUCUCUGUUCUGGCACCUUGGUGGUGGCAUGAAAGUCCCCUAGAUCUCUGAACAGCUGAACAGUCUUCAAACGACAGGUGAAGACCUACCUCUUCCUGAUAUACUUAAAACUAGCACAUUUUUUUGCUUGUUUAUUAAAAACAAAACAAAACAAAAAAAUGUUUCUGUGUGCUAUAUUACCACCAUCCUUAGUCUGAGACCUAGUGAACCAGUGUCGAUGUAUUCAUUGAUGAAACUUCAAAGCACUUUUGUAUGUAACUCUGGAUAAGGGCAUCUGCCAAAUGCUGUAAAUGUAAAUGAAUAGAAUAUUGAAACAGUUAUGUUUUUAAUUCAUGACCCUCUGAUAAUCACCUGCACCAAUCCAAGGGAUUUAUUCAUGAAUGAAUAUACAAAGUACCUGGAGGUUUCAUUUAAAAAAAAAAGUUUUAAACAUUUAAACACACUUCUGUGCUACAACUCAACCCAAUCUGCCUAUUGUCUUUUCAUUCUUUACACCCAAAGCCAGUUUAUCAGACCAUUCAAAGUGGAGGAAGACAGUCAGUACAGUGUGUUCCAUUUAAAUUAAUCCUGCCUAGGAUUUCAUUAACCCAUAAUAUAGAACACCUCCUUGCCACAUUGCAGACUGGCACUGCCAGGUGCUUGAACUUUCAUCUGCAGGCCAAUAAUGUGGAAUCUGCAUCAUGCAGAACCAGCGUUUACUGAAUUUGUGCCAUUAUGCCAUCUUCCCAAAGACAAGCUCUGAAUCUAAAUUUAAAAGCAGUAAAGUAUGUGAUGGAGAGAUGGACAUCUACCAAGAGGAGAAAGGGCAAAUGUUUUGGUAAUCAUGCUCAUUUACAUUAAGUGAUGCACAAUAAAUUAUAAUUUAAAAUUGUAUCCUUGUAAUUCAUUUGAACUAACUAGGCCAUGGCAAAAUUUAAGACGAGGCACAAAAAGAACGCCUAAGGCAGACAAACAAACAAAAAGAUUGUCAAUGGUGAAAAGAUGUUUGGAAGACAAAAACAUUUUUCCCCCAGAUAUAUCUAAUGCUAGCAGAAUGUGUAGUAUACCCAAACCCAAAACAGAACAAUUUACAUUUACUCAUUCACCAGAUGCUUUUACUUAAAGUCAGUUACAAGUAAGGCAGAUUCUAUUCUAAGCACAUAGCUGAGCAGGCGAGGGUUAAAAACCUUGCUUUUUUACUUGUGCUUUGGGACCUGUACUUACUGUACACGCUUCCACUCAGUGUAACCUAUACUGUCCAGCUACCACAGCCAUUUACAACAGACCUUAGACUUUGAGAGAACAUUCAUAUGAACUAACAUUCAUAAGAUGUACAACAACCUUCCUGUGCCCAAUUCCAAUGUGGUUCCAGUCCAUUAAGUGUGGACGCAUGAAAAACAGCAUACAACAUAAUGUGUGUCUAGCUGUAACUAGACACAACAUAGAACCUGGGUGGCAAACUGUACUGAAAAAUAGACAAAUCUAAAGCAUGUGCAGAUCCAUGCCUCACUGAACUGUAAAUUGAGCAUUUUAAUGAUUUUUGUGGGAGUGGCAUAACAGUAGAGCAUUCAAAGAAAGGCCAGGAGUCAAAAUGGUAUAACUUUUUCAUGUCGAUCAGUGACACUACCCAGGAGUGGCUAUUAAAAAAGUAGAACAGGACAGUUAGCACUUUACUCCAGCUGAUAGCAUUCUCCUCCAAGUGUGAUCUGAGUGUCUUCAGAUGCCCUCUGACAUAGCACAAGUAGCAGUUUGAAAGAUGUCUUUUGGAGGACAUGUACUAUCCCUAACCUUCCCUAGUUGGUAGCCUUUGUGUGAUACUUGAGAAAUAGCUAGUUGAUAAGAAUUGGUAAUGAUAAAAUUGUUAAAAAUAGCUGUAUUCUUUUGUUUAAAAGGCAAAAGCCAUUAUGUUUAGGCUUGCAAGAAAUGACAACAAUUCAGAAUAAAAGGAAAGCUUUAUCUCAUCAAAAAUCUAAAAAAGAGGUAUUUCUUACUGUAUUUUGACAACACAGUUUGCCAAUACAUACUGCUUUAUAUAUGCUUCAAGUCAUUUCAAAUGUUUCUUUUAUGUUUUAUAUGAUUCUCACACCAGUGACAAAUAUUGUAAUUAAAACUUAUAUUUCCUCCCAACAGAGAUUUAGGCUGAUGGUAUCCUAAGUCUGUAACCUAGAGAACCAGUAUUGAUGUAUUCAUUGAGCCUUCAAAGCACUUUUGUAUGUCGCUCUGGAUAAGAGCAUCUGCCAAAUGUCAGAAAUGUAAAUGUACCAAAAUAACAAAAACACGACAAUGCAAAUACAAUAAGCAGAAGCUCAAUUAAAUCUUUUUCAAUAACCACUUAAACCAUUUGGGGGAAUCUGAAGCCUAUCCCAGUAACACUGGGCACAAAAUGGGAAUAAAUAUUUUUACUGGCAAUUACUGUAGCCUGUCCAUCUACUGGCCGGUGUGAGAAAACCAGAGACACGGUUUAAAACUAUGUACUAUGGGUAGAACAUGCAAAACUCUACACCGAUAGUAACCUGAGCUCAGGAUCAAACCCUAGACCUGUAGCAACGAUAUUUUCACCUUUUUUUCACAAGGUACAGCAACUGAAGGUUCCUAAAAGUAGUUUUAGGACUUUUGCAGAACGUUAAUAUCACUGAAUAAGUUGAAUUUAGAUUGGAUUAGAUUAAGCAAUGUUUUAUAAUGCUCACCAAAUUAGUACACUCAAAUAAAGUUACACAUUGAGCCUGGUUACACAUAGAAAUAUGCCAUGACUAAAAAACGUUAUAGAGUGUAGGAAUGAACAAACCAAGGACAUAUACAUUUUUUGAUAAGGUUAACAUGAUCACCACAACCUACACUUCCCACAUUUUGUUAUGUGGAUGUGGCACAGUCAGUACCACAUGAAAAAUCCAGCAUAUUUGGAAAAAUAUUCAUGUCACAUUAAAAACUGGCCUUUUAGCCACUAAAAUGUUCCAGGUCAAACAUACUUGCAUAUUUGUAGGGGGGAGGUGCAUUAGCAGUGCUGAUAUGAAGUGACAGCAACCAAUACAUCAGUGAAAAACAAAUCUAUAAAAUCUAUAAAAACUCACCCAAAGGACACUUGAUAGUGCCUGUGCACUGCAUUCAGGUAUAAGAAAUAGUGGUGGCUUAGGACAUCAAAAUAAUUUAACGAAUAAUUACUAAUAUUCAGUGUAAAUGAAUAAUGGGCUGAUUGAUCUAUGGCAUGUCAUAUUAGCAAAAUUUUAAAUGAUACUCAAAUGUGAACAGGCUGCACUCAUGAUUUUUUGGGUCAGUUAGUUAUCAUCAUAAUAAUAGCAUUACAGACCAGAAGGGAAUUAUAUGCAUAAAAGUGUUUUAAAUCUUUCAGAAACUGUUUAGAUUUUUGGAUGCCUCCCCACUACACAAUUCAAACCCUAAACAAAAGUGAUACUGUACUUGCAUGUUCCUUAAUGAUGCCACAUAAAAUUCUCUCUCCUAGGACAUACAGUGGGGUCCAAAAGUCUUAGACCACUAGUAAAAAUGCUUCUAUUUCGCGUAAUGUUUUAUUUAAUUCAAUUAUUUUCAUGAUAUUGACAAGAACUGAAUAAGUGCUGAAUAAGAGUGAAAAGUAGAAUCUUAAAAAUAUUUACACAAAUUUCAGUUUCCCCUUUUUGCUUUAAUGACAGUGUGCAUUCGAACUAGCAGGGACCAUGUGCAAAAUUCGAUCAAAUCCAUGUUGUCUGAACACAUGCUUCAAUAGAAGACAUUAGACAUGAGGAAAAUCCUUUUGUUUAAAGCAGUUAACAUGCUUAAAUUUCACAAAUUUGCCUUACAUUUAAAUAGGAACCU